UAAACUGCAGAGUAUUUUCGGAUCGACCACAUGCUCAACAAUCGAUCAAUCCGUAAAAAAGAUGGUAGAUUUUCUUGGCGAGGUAAUUACAAUUUUAGCAAAAAUAUCUUUGAUUUUCAAAUUUAAGUAUAUAACUAUUCUUUUGAAUAUUAUUUUUUAUUGUAUUUUUUGACUAAAUUAUUGUAUUAUAAUGUUUAUGUAAAUAUUUUUUGUGAUGUUUGAAUUUGUGUUGUUCGUAUACUUAACCUAGAUGAUAUUGAUGUUUAACCAUUUGUUGUUUUUAUUUUUUUUUAAUCAGAAAUUGUUUUUAUUUAAAAAAAUUAUUCAUAUAUAAUAUAAUAGUUUAAGUUUGGAAGAUUAAUCUAUAUAUAUAAAUUAUGUAUAUUUUUUUAAAAAUAAUUUAAGAUAUUAUAUAUUGAGUAACUGAAUUUCUUAUCUUGAAAAUAAAAUAUUUAUAUUUUUGUCUUCAUGUUAUACUCAC
rnacentral:lncRNA from 1 species